GUUUUUUUUGACAGCAGAGGAAUGAUAAAAGUUGAGAACUCUAGGUCCCAUUAGAUUUCCCAGAGUGGAAAAAUACACUAAUUAUUUGGGCUGUCAUCCCAUUACAAUCUCUUCUCCAAAGAAUUACAGACAGUGGGGCGCAUGACUUCUCACAAGCGUAACAGAGAAAAGGCAAGAGGAAGCACUUCUAAGGAAAAUCCUGAAUGGGUUUAAGGAAAAAAUUAUUCACCAUAAAAGCACAUAAUCACUGGAACGAGUAAACUAGCUCAAGAAAAUUAUGGAAUCAGCAGCCUUCAGAACUCAGUUGUACGAGGCCCUGACAACCUGAGCUGGCCUUGAAGACACUUUUGCUUGGAAUGGUGCUUGAACAAGAAAACCACAGAAUUCCAGUUUAUUUCUGUUAUCCCACAAUCUCAGUUACAUCACUGAGUGAUUGGAUGCAUCUGAAAUGCAUCAAAAUAUGCAAAUUUUUGAGAAUUCCGGAAAAGAACUCUCUGUGCCCUGCCACAAAACAGUAGGUUUUGCUGCUAUUCAGAAUUAAAAAGGAGUCUACUCUCCUUUUACCCCUACUCUUGCAGCACAGCCAAUGCAGCAAAAGGUCUGUUACAAGGUGAGAGGCAAGCAAUGUGUUGAAAUUGUGGAGGCAUCCCUGUCUAUUGUUUUUCUGAGUUAAUCAUGUGGUCACUAGAACUUGUAGAACUGCCAGUCUCUCAGGUAAGCAAAGCCAGCAGGUAAAGCGCUCUCCUUCUAAGAGAGUGUCUUAUUUGCUUUCUGGUAUAGAGGGUUGUAUUAAGAUAUGAGCUCAUAUGAUUUUAUAAUAGACAUCAGUGAUUCAUGUCAUCAGAAUGUAACUUGCAUUUUGGGUGGAUCACAAUGUCACUCAAAGUAACGAAAGUAUAAACAUGAAAAAUACUCUUUAACUUCUUUAAAAACCUGGAAAUAUAUAUUGAGAAAAAACUCAGUCUGUUUCCUUUUAAACUCUUACGUAUUCUCUACCUCAUUUCUAAAUUGUUAUCAUUUUCAUUAUCAGUAAGGUUGGAUUAUAUCUGAAAUAGUGCUAUUAUAAUUGGCUUUGAUCCUCUG
ensembl:lncRNA